CCUACGGGCGGCAGCAGUGAGGAAUAUUGGUCAAUGGUCGGGAGACCGAACCAGCCAAGCCGCGUGAGGGAUGAAGGUACAGAGUAUCGUAAACCUCUUUUGUCAGGGAACAAAGGCGGGGACGUGUCCCCGGAUGAGUGUACCUGAAGAAAAAGCAUCGGCUAACUCGGUGCCAGCAGCCGCGGUAAUCCGGAGGAUGCGAGUGUUGUCCGGAUUUAUUGGGUUUAAGGGGUGCGCAGGCGGUCUGUUAAGUCAGCGGUAAAACCCCGGGGCCCAACCCGGGCCCGCAGUUGAAACUGGCAGUCUCGAGUUGGAGAGAAGUAUGCGGAAUGCGCGGUGUAGCGGUGAAAUGCAUAGAUAUAGCGCAGAACUCCGAUUGCGAAGGCAGCAUGCCGGCUCCACACUGACGCUGAGGCACGAAAGCGUGGGUAUCGAACAGGAUUAGAUACCCUAGUAGUC
rnacentral:rRNA from 1 species